CUGGUUAGAAAGUGAUAUUAGUAUUUAAUAGUAAAUAAGAAAGAAAAGGUUUAUACGCGGGAGAUAUAUGGUUUUGUGUUAAAAAGAAGUUGAUGGAAAUAAGUUGAGGUGCAAAAGAAGCUACGUUUUGUAGCUUAUUUUUCCGAGCUUUUCCUUCUUGAAUCAAGCGCUGCAAGUGUCUGCCAAACGGCCAUAAGAAAAGAGAAAGCCCACUUCUCAGCUUUUAAGUCCUGAAUCACAGCUCCCAAACACCCGCAUA
rnacentral:lncRNA from 1 species